rnacentral:rRNA from 4 species
AGUAGUCAUAUGCUUGUCUCAAAGAUUAAGCCAUGCAUGUCUCAGUACAAGCCAAAUUAAGGUGAAACCGCGAAAGGCUCAUUAAAUCAGUUAUGGUUCCUUAGAUCGUACCCACAUUUACUUGGAUAACUGUGGUAAUUCUAGAGCUAAUACAUGCAAACAGAGCUCCGACCGGAGACGGAAGGAGCGCUUUUAUUAGAUCAAAACCAAUCGGCGGCGGGUUCGCCCGUUCGUCGUACAACUUGGUGAAUCUGAAUAACUUUCUGCUGAUCGCAUGGUCUCGCACCGGCGACGCAUCUUUCAAAUGUCUGCCUUAUCAACUGUCGAUGGUAGGUUCUGCGCCUACCAUGGUUGUAACGGGUAACGGGGAAUCAGGGUUCGAUUCCGGAGAGGGAGCCUGAGAAACGGCUACCACAUCCAAGGAAGGCAGCAGGCGCGCAAAUUACCCACUCCCGGCACGGGGAGGUAGUGACGAAAAAUAACGAUACGGGACUCAUCCGAGGCCCCGUAAUCGGAAUGAGUACACUCUAAACCCUUUAACGAGGAUCAAUUGGAGGGCAAGUCUGGUGCCAGCAGCCGCGGUAAUUCCAGCUCCAAUAGC